rnacentral:lncRNA from 1 species
AUGUGUCCAUCUCUGAACAUGUGCAGAAGAAGAAAAUUGAAGCAGUUUUCCAAUCUAGUUGCUGGACUGCUGGUGAGGGAAAAGCUGGUAAAACAGAUGAAAGCAUCGUGUGGACUGGACUUGAUCUGUGGACUACCUGUAGAACCCGCAGAACUCAUCAGCAUCCCCUCUACUGCUUAUAUUCUACUUGAUGUAAAGGUGUCAAACCGCUGCAGCUUAAGUGACCAGUCACAAGCCACAAAUGAUGGUUCAGCUGAGCAGAGCAUAGGUAAGUCUUGAAUUGUGUAUCAUUAUAAGUUUUGAAUUGCAUAUCAUUCUGAGUGGUGAAAACACACAUAAACUGUAGCAAGAGGUGGAAAAUAGUUCAUAAGUAAGAGAAUUGAUCAACAAUGGCUAUCAAAAACCAGUAACCAGUCUGUUAAAUAUAACUUACACCUUUAAUAAAAAUAAAUUUGCUGUUACUAGUACA